rnacentral:rRNA from 1 species
AUUGAACGCUGGCGGCAGGCCUAACACAUGCAAGUCGAACGAGUGGCGGACGGGUGAGUAAUGUCUGGGACACUGCCUGAUGGAGGGGGAUAACUACUGGAAACGGUAGCUAAUACCGCAUACCAUCGGAUGUGCCCAGAUGGGAUUAGCUAGUAGGUGGGGUAACGGCUCACCUAGGCGACGCUCCCUAGCUGGUCUGAGAGGAUGUCCAGCCAAACUGGAACGGAGACACGGUCCAGACUCCUAAGGUAGGCAGCAGUGGGGAAUAUUGCACAAUGGGCGAAAGUCUGAGGCAGCCAUGCAGCGGGUAUGAAGAAGGCCUUAGGGUUGUAAAGUACUUUCAGCGGGGAGGCGUUACCCGCAGAAGAAGCACCGGCUAACUCCGUGCCAGCAGCCGCGGUAAUAC